rnacentral:rRNA from 1 species
AUACGGAGGAUGCAAGCGUUAUCCGGAUUUAUUGGGUUUAAAGGGUGCGUAGGCGGUUUGCUAAGCGGGAGGUGAAAUGCCGGCGCUCAACGUCGGAAGUGCCUCCCGAACUGGUGGACUUGAAUGACUCUGCCGUGGGAGGAAUGUGUAGUGUAGCGGUGAAAUGCUUAGAGAUUACACAGAACACCGAUUGCGAAGGCAUCUCACGAAGGGUGGAUUGACGCUGAGGCACGAAAGCGUGGGGAUCAAACAGGAUUAGAUACCCUGGUAGUCCACGCAGUAAGCGAUGAUGGCUAACCGCUGGGCUUAUCAGUUCAGUGGCCAAGCGAAAGCGAUAAGCCAUCCACCUGGGGAGUACGACCGCAAGGUUGAAGCUCAAAUGAAUUGACGGGG